CUUCCUGGAAUUGCUCAAUGUGAAAUUUAUUUUUUUUGUAAUUACAAUUAUGUACCGCAAUUUUUUCCACAGGAUGGGAUGAAGGUGUGUUGGGAAUGCAAGUGGGAGAAGUUGCUCGAUUACAGUGCUCUCCCGACUAUGCCUAUGGUCCUGGUGGAUUUCCAGCAUGGGGCAUUCAGCCUAACUCAGUUCUGGUUUUUGAGAUUGAAGUUUUAAGUUUGGAGUGACCAGCAUAUCAUAUUUUAUCAAGUGGCUGAGGAGUUUAGUUAUUUAUGUUUAAUAAUGAUGAUCGUUGAACAUGAUAUGACUUGUUUGAGAAUUGAUCUUGGUUGAUGCUGUUGUUCUGAUCAUGCACGAAGGAGUUUUCUUAAAACUUGAGCUGUACUUUUAAGCAGUCAUCUAUUGAUCUUGGUUUUGACAUUUCGGUUCUGGAAGAACUAGAUCCUUAGCAGUUUUCAGGGGACAUGUUAGUUUAAAGAAAUGUGUAUUAGGUGUUAAGAUUUAA